rnacentral:piRNA from 1 species
UCACUGUCUCGCCAUUACACC